CACUACUAUAAAACUUGGAAAAAAUACACCUAAUUAAAGACCCAUUAUUUAACCAACGGGUAUAUAAGAUGUAAAAGAUCUAAUUUUAAUUAUAACGAGUCUUUUAUGUGUAUGAGAAAAAAAUAAAAUAAAAAUAUGAGACCAGUUAUCAAAGCUAACGAGUGUCUUAUUUUAUUGUGUCCCACUUUCUGAUGAGAAAAGAAAAAUAAGGGGUGUGUUUCUAAUUUGACGGGUCUCUUAACUUUACUUCUUAUUUAUCAUCAUACUACGUAUUUCCUACAAAUCAAUUCACCUACUUUCUCUCUCUCUUCAAAGCCUUCUUCCAAGCCCAAAUUAAAACCCUCAUUUUCUCUUUGUGAACACGCCGGCAGCCGUCACUGACUCACUUCUUCAUCUCUUCUCCAUUAAAUCAAAACACUGUCCCUUCAUGCCUUCUCGCAACGUUUACUCUAAGAAUGAUUUGUAUGACUUGGUCCCACUAAAUCCUCAAACAACGGAGAUAGAAAAAGGAGUAUUCAAGUCUUUUUUUUUUGGGGUGUCAUUAUAAUUGUAAUUAAAAUUUUGGUGUAAUUUUGUUGGACAUUUUUUUUUGUAUUACAUUAAUUUUAAUUUAAUCCAUUGCUAUUUUUCGUGGU